GGGAAUCAAACUUGGUACCCCUGUAUUACUAGUCAAGUGCUCUAACCAGAGCUAUCCAGACCGAUAUCCACGGUCUGCAUAUAGUCCCAAUUACUACAUUCCUCCCUCCUUUAAUUUGUAUUUGCCCUAGAAGACACACACAACUCGGAUUCUUUUCGCCCCUGGCAGGACAACCUGCAGUGCUUGGGUGGUCAACGGCACCAACUAUAGUAUAUAGGAGAGAGAAAAUCUAUGGUUGGACCAGGAAUCGAAUCCAGGACCCCUGUAUUACUAGUCAAGUGCUCUAACCACUGACCUAUCCAGGCCGAUAUCCAUGGUCCGUUUACUACUACAUAUUCAUUCACGGACUGUGACCUUGACCUAUGACCAUUUCACCUGGAAGUGCUACAUCUAUAGCAAGUAUGAAAAAAACACAACAACCUGGAAUUGUGUUCUUUAAUGGUGUUCCCAAAAUUGUUACAUACAAUUGCUGAAAGUGACCUUUUGACCCAGGAAUCAUUCUACCCCUAGUACCUGCCACCCCCUAUCGCACAUAUGUUUAUAUGGUGUCCACAUUUUUACAUUCAAUUACCAACUGUGACCUUGACCUACAUGUAAAACUUUUUACCCAGUUUUUAUCAAGGUGACUAGUAUCUGGAUAAGAACUCCUUAUAUGGUGACCACAGCAUUUCCUAUGAUGCAUACACACACAUGCACAAGUUACGAUAGACCCCUGUAACUUUUUUGUGAUCAAACAGGAGGUGACCAUUCUACAUUGAUCCAGUGCCUUUUUAUGGGAUUCGAAACUGUGACUGUGAGAUGUAUGAGAGUUUGACUUCUAGGCGGAUAAUUCUACUUUCACUUUAAACGGAUGGCAGGUGUCUGAGUGUAUCUCGACCCAUUUCCAGGCUAGCAGCAGAUGUCAUGAUGGACCUUUAAAAUCUUUCACAUGUGUACUUUCAAGAACCAUAUACAUUAUUUUUGAAAAUUGGUUGCCAUGGUAAUAAAAUCUGAAAAUUAAAA